GUCAGCUGCAACACAGCUGCGGCGCUGCGGAGGCUGAUUUAAAGUUCUGGUUGCACAGCAUGUUGACUACAAACCGCGCUCUUUGCAUCUAAAAAACAUUUCGUAACAGCAGUCUGCCCUCACUAAAGCGGAUGAGGCGAGACAGUCGUAGAAGACGCAGCAGACUGAGGAUCUUGGUGAAGCGCACGAUGCGGAGGGCGCGGGCGGUGCGGUACACGUCAGACGACUCAUGCCGGGACUCCAGGUCAACAAUGAGGAAGAUGUAGUCAACGGGGAUGGAGGAGAUGAAGUCCACCAGGAACCAGGUGCGGAGACAAACUCACAAACAGCACUGAAACUAAGAGGAAACUGAGGUUAGGAAAUUCUGAAGAUAACCCAACUCCAUCAUUACCUGAAGUCACUGUAGGGGUGGAUGAUCCACACUCCAAAGCUCUUGACCCUGGCCUG